GACGAACGCUGGCGGCGUGCCUAACACAUGCAAGUCGAACGGAAAGGCCUCUUUCGGGUGGUACUCGAGUGGCGAACGGGUGAGUAACACGUGAGUAACCUGCCCUCGACUUUGGGAUAACUUCUGUAAACUGGGGCCAAUACCGGAUAGGAGCUCCUGCUGCACGGUGGGGGUUGGAAAGUUUCGGCGGUUGGGGAUGGACUCGGGGCUUAUCAGCUUGUUGGGGGGGUAGUGGCUUACCAAGGCCUUGAGGGGUAGCCGGACUGGGGGGGUGACCGGCCACAUUGGGACUGAGAGACGGCCCAGGCGCGGACGGUCGGCAAAAGGGGGGAAGCUUGAUCAAGGGGUGGAGGGCUGAUGCAGCAGGGCUGUGGGCGGGAUAGCGGUUUUGGGGUGGAAGACCGGUUUCGCUCUUGACGAAGCUUUGUGUGACGGUAGCGGGUAAAGAAGCACCGGCUAACUACGUG
rnacentral:rRNA from 1 species